UCUGAUUGAUAACAUUUGAGUGAGUGGCGGACGGGUGAGUAACACGUGGGUAACCUGCCCUAAAGUGGGGGAUAACAUUUGGAAACAGAUGCUAAUACCGCAUAAAACCUAGCACCGCAUGGUGCAAGGUUGAAAGAUGGUUUCGGCUAUCACUUUAGGAUGGACCCGCGGUGCAUUAGUUAGUUGGUGAGGUAAAGGCUCACCAAGACCGUGAUGCAUAGCCGACCUGAGAGGGUAAUCGGCCACACUGGGACUGAGACACGGCCCAGACUCCUACGGGAGGCAGCAGUAGGGAAUCUUCCACAAUGGACGAAAGUCUGAUGGAGCAACGCCGCGUGAGUGAAGAAGGUUUUCGGAUCGUAAAACUCUGUUGUUGGAGAAGAACGUAUUUGAUAGUAACUGAUCAGGUAGUGACGGUAUCCAACCAGAAAGCCACGGCUAACUACGUGCCAGCAGCCGCGGUAAUACGUAGGUGGCAAGCGUUGUCCGGAUUUAUUGGGCGUAAAGCGAGCGCAGGCGGUUUCUUAAGUCUGAUGUGAAAGCCUUCGGCUCAACCGAAGAAGUGCAUCGGAAACUGGGAAACUUGAGUGCAGAAGAGGACAGUGGAACUCCAUGUGUAGCGGUGAAAUGCGUAGAUAUAUGGAAGAACACCAGUGGCGAAGGCGGCUGUCUGGUCUGUAACUGACGCUGAGGCUCGAAAGCAUGGGUAGCAAACAGGAUUAGAUACCCUGGUAGUCCAUGCCGUAAACGAUGAGUGCUAGGUGUUGGAGGGUUUCCGCCCUUCAGUGCCGCAGCUAACGCAUUAAGCACUCCGCCUGGGGAGUACGACCGCAAGGUUGAAACUCAAAGGAAUUGACGGGGGCCCGCACAAGCGGUGGAGCAUGUGGUUUAAUUCGAAGCAACGCGAAGAACCUUACCAGGUCUUGACAUCCUUUGACCACUCUAGAGAUAGAGCUUUCCCUUCGGGGACAAAGUGACAGGUGGUGCAUGGUUGUCGUCAGCUCGUGUCGUGAGAUGUUGGGUUAAGUCCCGCAACGAGCGCAACCCUUAUUACUAGUUGCCAGCAUUUAGUUGGGCACUCUAGUGAGACUGCCGGUGACAAACCGGAGGAAGGUGGGGACGACGUCAAAUCAUCAUGCCCCUUAUGACCUGGGCUACACACGUGCUACAAUGGAUGGUACAACGAGUCGCGAGACCGCGAGGUUUAGCUAAUCUCUUAAAACCAUUCUCAGUUCGGAUUGUAGGCUGCAACUCGCCUACAUGAAGCCGGAAUCGCUAGUAAUCGCGGAUCAGCAUGCCGCGGUGAAUACGUUCCCGGGCCUUGUACACACCGCCCGUCACACCAUGAGAGUUUGUAACACCCAAAGCCGGUGA
rnacentral:rRNA from 2 species